CCUACGGGUGGCAGCAGUGGGGGAUAUUGCACAAUGGGGGAAACCCUGAUGCAGCGACGCCGCGUGUGGGAAGACGGUCUUCUGGAUUGUAAACCACUGUCCCCAGGGACGAAAAUGACGGUACCUGGGGAGGAAGCUCCGGCUAACUACGUGCCAGCAGCCGCGGUAAUACGUAGGGAGCAAGCGUUGUCCGGAAUUACUGGGUGUAAAGGGAGCGUAGGCGGGGAUGUAAGGUGGGUGUCAAAACUACCGGCUCAACCGAUAGUCGCACUCAAAACUGCAGCUCUUGAGUGAAGUAGAGGCAGGCGGAAUGCCUAGUGUAGCGGUGAAAUGCGUAGAGAUUAGGAGGAACACCAGUGGCGAAGGCGGCCUGCUGGGCUUUUACUGACGCUGAGGCUCGAAAGUGUGGGGAGCAAACAGGAUUAGAUACCCCUGUAGUC
rnacentral:rRNA from 1 species